UUUAGAUCAAGCAUUGGAAUACGAUUUUUAUCGGGGGAGAACACCCAACAGAAAGACCCAUGAUUCACCAAAUGGCGCACUGAAAUGGGAGAUUCAUGUCACCUUCAUCAGUUCUUUCUUUAAUUACUGGACACCAUUAAGGGAAAGACCCUCAGAUAACAGGAUAAAUGCGGCUGCAGAACCGUAAACCUUGUGGAACAUCUGGUGACUUGGAUUCUUGGGUCAGAAACAAUGAUACUUGGCGGGCUGAAAUUCUUUGGACUUUAAAGAGUGUUACAUCCCACUACUCCAACAAGAGUGCUGAGUGAAAAAAUUAUUUUAGAAUUCAGAAACGAUGCAAGGCGCUGUUUCCUUCAACUCUUAAAGAGACUUUUGGAAAAAAAAAAACAUUCGAUCCAGUUUUGUGAGACAAACUACCUGCCUUAACCCCAAGGUCAUGGCCCAUGAUCUUGAUGGAUGUGAACGAAGGUUCAAAAGGCUUCUGAACCAUUUAGUUGAGCUAAAAAGAUUUCCAGAAAGCAAGUGUGAUGAUGCUCAAAUGCAGUACACAACCUUCAUUAAAGAAGAAGUGGCUAAAAACCUGUCAAAGUUAAGGGACUUUAAUAUCCAGUCACACACUCUUGACCAUUUCUUCUCAGAAACCUUGCAGGGUAAAGAUGAACUCAAAUACCUAUGGCAGGUAGUGAAAAUUGUGCUUCUUUUAUCACAUGGUCAGGCUAAUGUGGAACGAGGAUUUUCUGUGAAUGCAGCCAUGAGCACUGAAAACAAAAAGGACAUCAGCUAUACAUCACAGAGGCUUGUUCCCAGAAUGAUUGCCAGCUGUAAAGCAGCACAACAAAGAUGUGAGAGUUCUCUCAUCAAGCAGAGAGAAAAGAGAGCUGAGAAAACCAAAUGCAGAGACCAAGAGGAGGAACAAAGGAAAAAAAGAGGAGGCUUGAAUCUGACAUUGCCCACUUGGAGCUAGAAAUAGAAAAGGCAGCCACUGAAGCUGAGACCUCCUCCAAACCAAGAGAAUGCAUAAUUAGAUUUAACAGUUUUAGAAAGUCCCUGAAAGACAAAAAAGAUGAACUUAAGCAGAUUUGUUAAAUCUGCCACAACCUAGACCACUUUGACAGGGCUUCUACACAAGCAGGUUUAUCUUUACUUCUGUUAUAGCACUGAAUAAGAGGUUUAUGUCCUCUUUGGAUGCACUCUUUAAUGCACAGAGUACCGUGACCUUCAUGUUCUCAUACUUAGAGUUGCCACAGUCAUUGAAUACUUUA